rnacentral:rRNA from 1 species
GGCAGGCCUAACACAUGCAAGUCGAGCGAGACCUUCGGGUUUAGCGGCGGACGGGUGAGUAACGCGUGGGAAUAUGCCCUUCGGUUCGGAAUAGCCCCGGGAAACUGGGAGUAAUACCGGAUACGGUCUACGGACGAAAGAUUUAUCGCCGAAGGAUUAGCCCGCGUUGGAUUAGGUAGUUGGUGGGGUAAUGGCCUACCAAGCCGACGAUCCAUAGCUGGUUUGAGAGGAUGAUCAGCCACACUGGGACUGAGACACGGCCCAGACUCCUACGGGAGGCAGCAGUGGGGAAUCUUAGACAAUGGGGGAAACCCUGAUCUAGCCAUGCCGCGUGAGCGAUGAAGGCCUU